GAGAGUGAUUAUAGCUACGGUGGCUCUACCUUUUCCCAUUCCGAACAAAGAAGUAAAACCCGUAAGCACCGAUGGUACUGCAUUGAUGCGGGAGAGUAGGUAAUUGCUCAUU
rnacentral:rRNA from 2 species